GUCGAGAAUAAUUCACAAUGGGGGAAACCCUGAUGGUGCAACGCCGCGUGGAGGAUGAAGGUCUUCGGAUUGUAAACUCCUGUCAUCUGGGAGUAAGACCUGACGGUGAAUAGCCGGCAGGGUUGAUAGUACCAGAAGAGGAAGGGACGGCUAACUUCGUGCCAGCAGCCGCGGUAAUACGAAGGUCCCAAGCGUUGUUCGGAAUCACUGGGCGUAAAGGGAGCGUAGGCGGCGUGGUAAGUCAGAUGUGAAAUCCCGGGGCGCAACCCCGGAACUGCAUCCGAUACUGCCAUGCUUGAGGGUUGGAGAGGUAGCUGGAAUUCUCGGUGUAGCAGUGAAAUGCGUGGAUAUCGAGAGGAACACUCGUGGCGAAGGCGAGCUACUGGACAACAUCUGACGCUGAGGCUCGAAGGCCAGGGGAGCAAAAGGGAUUAGAUACCCGAGUAGUCC
rnacentral:rRNA from 1 species